ACCUGUCCCGAAGACUGGAAUAACCCGAGGAAACUCGGGCUAAUACCGGAUAUCCCCACCGGAUCGCAUGGUCUGGUGAGGAAAUGCUCCGGCGCUUCGGGAGGGUCUCGCGGCCUAUCAGCUAGUUGGUGAGGUAACGGCUCACCAAGGCAUCGACGGGUAGCUGGUCUGAGAGGACGAUCAGCCACACUGGGACUGAGACACGGCCCAGACUCCUACGGGAGGCAGCAGUGGGGAAUCUUGCGCAAUGGGCGAAAGCCUGACGCAGCCACGCCGCGUGAGGGAUGAAGGCUUUCGGGUUGUAAACCUCUUUCAGCAGGGACGAAAAUGACGGUACCUGCAGAAGAAGCCCCGGCCAACUACGUGCCAGCAGCCGCGGUAACACGUAGGGGGCAAGCGUUGUCCGGAUUUAUUGGGCGUAAAGAGCUCGUAGGCGGUUCAGUAAGUCGGGUGUGAAAACUUGAGGCUCAACCUCAAGAGGCCACUCGAUACUGCUGUGACUGGAGUCCG
rnacentral:rRNA from 1 species